rnacentral:rRNA from 1 species
AGAAUCAACGCUGGCGGCGUGCCUCAGACAUGCAAGUCGAACGCGAAAGUUCCCUUCGGGGACGAGUAGAGUGGCGCACGGGUGAGUAACACGUGAGUAACCUGCCCCUGACUCUGGAAUAAGCGCUGGAAACGGCGUCUAAUACCGGAUAUGACACCAAUCCGCAUGGGUAUGGUGUGGAAAGUUUUUCGGUUGGGGAUGGACUCGCGGCCUAUCAGCUUGUUGGUGAGGUAAUGGCUCACCAAGGCGAUGACGGGUA